UCAAAGUUGUGAAGAUUGAUAUUUCCAAGCCAUCACAAGGGUCAGAGAGUGAAGAGCCAGGGACUCUAGAGGACUUGGUCAGCGAAGGCAUCGUCUCCACCAAGCGCUGCGGGUGUGAGGAAGAUCUGAGGGCAGUGGGGAUGAACCACGCAGACACCCGAGGAGAGAGCUCCGACAGAGGAAAUGACAGAUUCGGGUCACUGAGGGAACGGAGGUCAUCUUGCUUUCACCGCAUGUACCACAGGCACACCUCACCAGUCCAGCUAGGCCGAGGGAGGACCGUGCCUGCUCAGGACCCAGGUCGCCAUCUUCCAUUUUAGCCUCGUUUUUAACCUGCUGGGACUCUCUCACCACUGAAUACAUCACCAUUGAUGUAACGCUCCUGAAUGCCGCUGAGGGGAAAAUGUUCUUCCCCUUGAUUAUAAUCUGCCAGAGAACCUUGGGAGGUUUUUGCUGGUACAAACUGCCAUUUCCAGCUAAGGUCUUUGAAAUCGGGCAAUAUGCCACAGCCACUAAUUCAAGUAGGUUGGUGAGUGUAUACAGUGGUAGAGAGACACCGUACACCAAUGGGUCCCUGCUGCUGUGGAAGGUCACUCCAAUGGAACACAGAUACUACACGCUAUGAACCUUCCGUAUGUGAAUCUCCACAUGUACAGGGCUGCAGAGAUGGCUCAGCAGUUAAGAGCACUGGCUGCUCUUCCAGAGGUCCUGAGUUCAAUUCCCAGA